rnacentral:rRNA from 1 species
GAUGAACGCUGGCGGCGUGCCUAAUACAUGCAAGUCGAGCGAACAGAUGAGGAGCUUGCUCCUCUGACGUUAGCGGCGGACGGGUGAGUAACACGUGGAUAACCUACCUAUAAGACUGGGAUAACUUCGGGAAACCGGAGCUAAUACCGGAUAAUAUAUUGAACCGCAUGGUUCAAUAGUGAAAGACGGUUUUGCUGUCACUUAUAGAUGGAUCCGCGCCGCAUUAGCUAGUUGGUAAGGUAACGGCUUACCAAGGCAACGAUGCGUAGCCGACCUGAGAGGGUGAUCGGCCACACUGGAACUGAGACACGGUCCAGACUCUUACGGGAGGCAGCAGUAGGGAAUCUUCCGCAAAGGGCGAAAGCCUGACGGAGCAACGCCGCGUGAGUGAUGAAGGUCUUCGGAUCGUAAAACUCUGUUAUUAGGGAAGAACAAAUGUGUAAGUAACUAUGCACGUCUUGACGGUACCUAAUCAGAAAGCCACGGCUAACUACGUG